UGGGGAAUAUUGGACAAUGGGGGGAACCCUGAUCCAGCCAUGCCGCGUGUGUGAAGAAGGCCUUAUGGUUGUAAAGCACUUUAAGCGAGGAGGAGGGUACUGGUAUUAAUACUACCAGCUACUGGACGUUACUCGCAGAAUAAGCACCGGCUAACUCUGUGCCAGCAGCCGCGGUAAUACAGAGGGUGCAAGCGUUAAUCGGAAUUACUGGGCGUAAAGCGCGCGUAGGUGGUUCGUUAAGUUGAAUGUGAAAGCCCCGGGCUCAACCGGGGAACUGCAUCCAAAACUGGCGAGCUAGAGUAGGGCAGAGGGUGGUGGAAUGUCCUGUGUAGCGGUGAAAUGCGUAGAUAUAGGAAGGAACACCGGUGGCGAAGGCGACCACCUGGGCUCAUACUGACACUGAGGUGCGAAAGCGUGGGGAGCAAACAGG
rnacentral:rRNA from 1 species